AAGACUAUAGACCUGCGGAGUACCUGCGGAAGGAUCAUUACCGAGUUAGGGUCUUUUGGCCCGACCUCCAACCCUUUGUUUAUUAUACCAUGUUGCUUUGGUGGGCCUGCCUUUCGGGGCUGCCGGGGGCAUCACUGCCCCUGACUCGUGCCUGCCAGGAGCCUUCUUAAAUUCAGUGUUCAACGGUGCUGUCUGAGUCCCAGUAUCAAAAUAUCAAAAACUUUCAGCAAUGGAUCUCUA
rnacentral:misc_RNA from 1 species